AUUGAACGCUGGCGGCAUGCCUUACACAUGCAAGUCGAACGGUAACAGGUCUUCGGAUGCUGACGAGUGGCGAACGGGUGAGUAAUACAUCGGAACGUGCCUAGUAGUGGGGGAUAACUACUCGAAAGAGUGGCUAAUACCGCAUGAGAUCUACGGAUGAAAGCGGGGGAUCGCAAGACCUUGUGCUACUCGAGCGGCCGAUGGCAGAUUAGGUAGUUGGUGGGAUAAAAGCUUACCAAGCCGACGAUCUGUAGCUGGUCUGAGAGGACGAUCAGCCACACUGGGACCGAGAAACGGCCCAGACUCCUACGGGAGGCAGCAGUGGGGAAUUUUGGACAAUGGGCGCAAGCCUGAUCCAGCAAUGCCGCGUGCAGGAUGAAGGCCUUCGGGUUGUAAACUGCUUUUGUACGGAACGAAAAGCCCCGGGUUAAUACCCUGGGGUCAUGACGGUACCGUAAGAAUAAGCACCGGCUAACUACGUGCCAGCAGCCGCCGUAA
rnacentral:rRNA from 1 species